rnacentral:tRNA from 1 species
GCCGUCGUGGUCGAGUGGUUAAGGCGAUGGACUUGAAAUCCAUUGGGAUCUUCCCGCGUAGGUUCGAAUCCUACCGACUGCG